CCUACGGGAGGCAGCAGUGAGGAAUAUUGGUCAAUGGACGAGAGUCUGAACCAGCCAAGUAGCGUGAAGGAUGACUGCCCUAUGGGUUGUAAACUUCUUUUAUAAAGGAAUAAAACGAGGCACGUGUGCCUUUUUGCAUGUACUUUAUGAAUAAGGAUCGGCUAACUCCGUGCCAGCAGCCGCGGUAAUACGGAGGAUCCGAGCGUUAUCCGGAUUUAUUGGGUUUAACGGGAGCGUAGAUGGGUUGUUAAGUCAGUUGUGAAAGUUUGCGGCUCAACCGUAAAAUUGCAAUUGAUACUGGUAGUCUUGAGUACAGUUGAGGUAGGCGGAAUUCGUGGUGUAGCGGUGAAAUGCUUAGAUAUCACGAAGAACUCCGAUUGCGAAGGCAGCUUACUAAACUGCCACUGACAUUGAUGCUCGAAAGUGUGGGUAUCAAACAGGAUUAGAUACCCCUGUAGUC
rnacentral:rRNA from 1 species